rnacentral:rRNA from 1 species
AGUCGAACGGUGAUGGGGAGCUUGCUCCUUGGAUCAGUGGCGAACGGGUGAGUAACACGUGAGCAAUCUGCCCUUGACUCUGGGAUAACUGCGGGAAACUGUAGCUAAUACCGGAUAUUACCUUGGAAGGCAUCUUCUGGGGUGGAAAGAAUUUUGGUCAAGGAUGAGCUCGCGGCCUAUCAGCUAGUUGGUGAGGUAAUGGCUCACCAAGGCGACGACGGGUAGCCGGCCUGAGAGGGUGACCGGCCACACUGGGACUGAGACACGGCCCAGACUCCUACGGGAGGCAGCAGUGGGGAAUAUUGCACAAUGGGCGCAAGCCUGAUGCAGCAACGCCGCGUGAGGGACGACGGCCUUCGGGUUGUAAACCUCUUUUAGUAGGGAAGAAGCGACUGGGUUUUCCUGGGAGUGACGGUACCUGCAGAAAAAGCACCGGCUAACUACGUGCCAGCAGCCGCGGUAAUACGUAGGGUGCAAGCGUUGUCCGGAAUUAUUGGGCGUAAAGAGCUCGUAGGCGGUUUGUCGCGUCUGCUGUGAAAACCCGAGGCUCAACCUCGGGCCUGCAGUGGGUACGGGCAGACUAGAGUGCGGUAGGGGAGAUUGGAAUUCCUGGUGUAGCGGUGGAAUGCGCAGAUAUCAGGAGGAACACCAAUGGCGAAGGCAGAUCUCUGGGCCGUAACUGACGCUGAGGAGCG